GGGUGAUUAGCUCAGCUGGGAGAGCACCUCCCUUACAAGGAGGGGGUCUGCGGUUCGAUCCCGUCAUCACCCACCA
rnacentral:tRNA from 5 species